GACGAACGCUGGCGGCGUGCUUAACACAUGCAGGUCGAACGGUAAGGCCCUUCGGGGUACACGAGUGGCGAACGGGUGAGUAACACGUGGGUGAUCUGCCCUGCACUUCGGGAUAAGCCUGGGAAACUGGGUCUAAUACCGGAUAGGACCACUGCCUGCAUGGGUGGUGGUGGAAAGCUUUUGCGGUGUGGGAUGGGCACGCGGCCUAUCAGCUUGUUGGUGGGGUGAUGGCCUACCAAGGCGACGACGGGUAGCUGGCCUGAGAGGGUGACCGGCCACACUGGGACUGAGAUACGGCCCAGACUCCUACGGGAGGCAGCAGUGGGGAAUAUUGCACAAUGGGCGCAAGCCUGAUGCAGCGACGCCGCGUGAGGGAUGACGGCCUUCGGGUUGUAAACCUCUUUCAGCACCGACGAAGCGCAAGUGACGGUAGGUGCAGAAGAAGGACCGGCCAACUACGUGCCAGCCGCCGCGGUAA
rnacentral:rRNA from 1 species